rnacentral:rRNA from 1 species
AUUGAACGCUGGCGGCAGGCCUAACACAUGCAAGUCGAGCGGAUGAAGGGAGCUUGCUCCUGGAUUCAGCGGCGGACGGGUGAGUAAUGCCUAGGAAUCUGCCUGGUAGUGGGGGAUAACGUCCGGAAACGGGCGCUAAUACCGCAUACGUCCUGAGGGAGAAAGUGGGGGAUCUUCGGACCUCACGCUAUCAGAUGAGCCUAGGUCGGAUUAGCUAGUUGGUGGGGUAAAGGCCUACCAAGGCGACGAUCCGUAACUGGUCUGAGAGGAUGAUCAGUCACACUGGAGCUGAGACACGGUCCAGACUCCUACGGGAGGCAGCAGUGGGGAAUAUUGGACAAUGGGCGAAAGCCUGAUCCAGCCAUGCCGCGUGUGUGAAGAAGGUCUUCGGAUUGGAAAGCACUUUAAGUUGGGAGGAAGGGCAGUAAGUUAAUACCUUGCUGUUUUGACGUUACCAACAGAAUAAGCACCGGCUAACUUCGUG